rnacentral:rRNA from 1 species
AUUCCAGCUCCAAUAGCGUACAUUAAAGUUGUUGCAGUUAAAAAGCUCGUAGUUGGAUUUCUGGUGUCGCAGUGCUUCCGCGUGUUUAAUUACAUGUCGAGUUGUGUUUGCGUCGCCAUCUUUUAGCAGCACCCUCCUGGCAUUAGGUUGUUGGGUUGGUAAUGCUAAUCGUUUACUGUGAAGAAAUUAGAGUGUUCAAAGCAGGCUUAUGCCGUUGAAUACGUUAGCAUGGAAUAAUGAGAUAGGACUUUGGUGGUUUAUUUUGUUGGUUUGCACGCCGAGGUAAUGAUUAAUAGGAGCAGUUGGGGAUGUCCGUAUUCGAUUGUCAGAGGUGAAAUUCUUGGAUUUAUUGAAGACGAACUACUGCGAAAGCAUUCAUCAAGGAUGUUUUCAUCA